rfam:Triticum urartu cultivar G1812 contig80037, whole genome shotgun sequence.
GCUCAGUUGGUAGAGUACAAAGCUCUUAACCUUGUGGUCAUGGGUUCGAGCCCCAU